rnacentral:tRNA from 1 species
GCCUGCAUGGCUCAGUCGGUUGGGCAUCCGACUUCAGCUCAGGUCAUGAUCUCGCAGUUGGUGGGUUCAAGCCCCACAUCAGGCU